UUCGCGAUACGUACCGUAAGCGAGAACACGUGAAGCGGGGAAUCGUGUGUCCUUUUUGCGGACGGCGCAAUCUCUCUGAGAAUAAGCGGGGAUCGCUUACGCCGAGGAAUGCGAGGCAAGCAGUGCAAAAGGGCGGUACAUCUGCGCCGGCCAGCGAAAAGACGAGCGCGUGUAUUUGGCGGUGUGCAGGUUGGUCGUGCACCGGGUUAAAAGGAGGGUGCAUAUCGCGAGAUAGGAUCGGCCGCGGUAGCCGCGUACGACCGGCUGGCCGAGAUAAGCAUCGAGCCAAACGAACCUGGCCAACCCCUUUCGGCUGACUUUUCAACCACCUUGCAACGAUUCGUAUAUCGCCACUGAUCUACCUCUCCCUCGCAUUUCGGCCCACUUUAUAUUGUAUACACACUAUGUAUGCGAACGGGGUCCAACGAUAUAUCGCCAUCUGUGGCUCAUUAGCUUAAGCGGUACAAAGCGAGUAACGUGGUCUCUCGCCUUGCUUCGCUGCGCCUUACCACGUGGGCUCUCGAGAGUUCGCUCGAGCCCGCUCCUCGCCUCGCCUCGCCUCGCCUAUCACCGACCGCUUAACGGCCAUUAUACGGAUUAUUACCUUACUUCUCGAGUGGAAAACAGCCAACUGACGCCGUCUUGACUCCCGAAACGAACGAGGAAGACACUUUUCCAUAAUAUUUCCACUUCUUGCUCUUGAUCAUUCUCCGCUAGGCAUUUUGUGGUUAAGGUAUUGUCUUGUAUUCAUUCCCUUGGAUGAAUCCAUUUGUCUUUCUUAUCUUUCUUCUCCUAUCGCGUAAAAAUGCAAUUGAAUGUGAUGUCGAACACACUUUUUAAGAUUUUAAUUUUAUUGCUCGUUCGUAAAAAUCGAUAUAAUUGUUGCAAUCGAUACUAUUUCCAGUCGAACGAGGUUAUGACGUUAUCGAAUAAUUAUACGUACGAGUAUAUUUUAAUUCGCACUGGUAUUUAUUAGUCGGAUUGGAAUCAAAUAACGAAGCAUUGACGCAAAUGAUAAUUAUAUGAUACGUGUACGAGGAAUAACAAAAAUUCCAAUAUCCUGGUAACUUGAUGACUAUGUAUUUACAUGUAUACGUGUAUACAUGUAUAUAUGUAUACAUAAUGCGUGAACGAGAUGCGCUGUUUCACGAAACUUAUUAGCGAUGCGCGCGCAUCUUAAUUAGUUUCGGAAUCCUGUGACGUGAACACUCGUUUCUGUUAAAAUUCGUGUGAUAUUUGUUGUUCUUUGAAAAUUCUGGGAAUCUUUCGAAUGUGACUAACCGUUCCAGUUACUUACGGAGUACAAAAGGAAAUGCCUGGAAAUUGAAUAAACACGAUGGCGUUGUCAUUCGUGAGAGAAUGGACGAGUCCAUUCGAGAAGAAGAGACGCGAGUAUGGUGAUAAUUUUUUUGAAAUCAGUGGAAAUUAUGUGUGUCAGUUUAAAAUACGAUUCGUAAAGAGGACGAUUUUGAAUGACGAUUGGAGUGCACGGCCGCCACCCACGCUGGUAAGAACACGAACAGAUGUUUUACGACUUCCAUGGUCCUUUUACAUGAUGAUGGCUUUUAUAAUGGCUUCUUAAAGCCAUAGCAGCAUCAAUGGUCAAUAAUCUUCGCAUCUAAUGGUGAGUUGUAUGCAUCUUUGUUCCUUCAAUCAUUUAAUCAUGUCGUAAGACGAAAAGUUCAAAUGAAUACGAUUGUUAUAUACGUAAAUUUUUAUACACAUAGUGAUACAGAUAUUUUUCUUUUUGUUAUAAAUAAAUUUCUUAUUUAAC